UACGGGGGGAGCAAGCGUUGUUCGGAUUUACUGGCGUAAAGGGCGCGUAGGCGGUCAGCACAAGUCAGUUGUGAAAUCUCCGGGCUUAACUCGGAAAGGUCAACUGAUACUGUGCGACUAGAGUGCAGAAGGGGCAACUGGAAUUCUCGGUGUAGCGGUGAAAUGCGUAGAUAUCGAGAGGACACCUGCGGCGAAGGCGGGUGCUGGGCUGACACUGACGCUGAUGCGCGGAAAGCCAGGGAGCGAACGGG
rnacentral:rRNA from 1 species